GGGGGCUGCACCUCUUAAGGGUGUGUUGUAGACAGCUUAUACAGAGCAACCUAUAGGUUACAGAGACAACUUCACUGCUGCUCCAAGGCGAGCAACAUGAACUCUCACUUAAUACAUUUUUCAUCUAGUAUAAUAAAAGUAUAUAAAUCAUGAUACAGGAAGAGAGUUUCCUUCAUAAGAAAAGUAUCGUCGAUAUCUAAGAGUUCAAAAUCGCGCUUAAAGGACUUCAGCUUUCCUUAUUCUCCGGACCAGCAUUAUGAUUUCAACGUCCCUCCCAACCACUCUUCUAGUUUCGCUUCUUUAUCUGCUUUGAAUUCAUCAAAGUUUUCGGUUAAAGACAGCAGUUGGUCAUAGGACAUGCUUUUGUUUACCUGUUCUUGUUGUAGCUCAUUUGCAGUUUGACUUGACAAUGUUAAGUCUUCACUAUUAGUCCGUCCAAGUGAGGACGAGGAGCUCACAUCUGCAGCUAAUAGCGCGUCAUUAGUAUGGGUCACAGAUGGUUCAUCCUUGUCUGAUGAAGAUGGUUCACUCUUGGCUGGUAGUGAUUCUCCGGUUUCUAACUGAGGCCACUUGAAGUUACUAGCCUUCUGUUUUGCAGACUGAAAAACAUUCGAGAGAUAUCCAGCUGUCCUGUUAUCAUCCUCUUCUGAAACAGUAUUACGAACCCAGGUGGAAGGACUCCAAGAGGUAGCUAUACCGACUGGGAAGCUAGAACUGGUUCCGCUAAUCAAUCCUUUUUUUGGUUGUUUCUUUGAAAUGACAGCCAGGGUAUGUCUGAGAUCCUUGAUCAUACCAUUAGCAAUUGGAAGGCCACACUCUUUCAUCGACCUGAUCACGGUGAUGGAAUCAUCUGAAUCUUCAGUGUGAAGUGCCACUUCACGGGAUUUUUCUUCGAUACUGUUUUUGAGAUUAACAAGGUUGGGGGCUGCUUUCUGGGAAUGCUGUUGAAUAUAGAAAAGCCCAACAGAGGGCUCAUUUGCAAUGAACUUUAUCAUGUCCGCCAAGGAUUCACUUAUCUCUACAAAGCCGUCCACUGUGGAAAAUUCAUGCAUUUUCUUGAAGGCCAACGGUUCAUCAUCAUUGAACAUAGAUCAUGUCCACUAAUAAGCCAAUUUGAAGUUGAGAUUUAUGCAACAGAUCAAAGUAGAAAAUUUGAAG
rnacentral:misc_RNA from 1 species